rnacentral:lncRNA from 1 species
UUGAAGUUGAACCUAAAAAUCUGUUUUGAGAGGCUGAAGUAAAACGAGUAUAAAUCCUUACUCAGACGUUGGAUUUGGAUGAAACUAACUUCAUUUGAAAGAAGACUCAAAGAUCUUUCUUUUCAUAGGUCACAUCUCUGCCAUUUCAUUAUAUUAAGGGAGUUAUGAUCAUUCAAAGUUGAUCCAAAAAAUUGGCUGGCCUCAGUAGUUUGUGUGCAGGAAAUUUUCCUGCACAUUUACUAUUCCCAAUAUCCCAGCCACCGUUUUAUAGUUUCAAACGUGCUCGAUUAUUUCUGAAACCUAUCUGUUUUUGGAAAUCUUUAUAUCGUUGAAAAUCUUAUUCAAUAACCUUCGCAUGGAACCAUCGACGGGCAAAUUCCGGAAUAAAUAAAAUAAAAAAAUUAAUUUCAUAUAAAUAAGACCAAUACACGUACUUGAAUACGCCAAUAUAUGUACUUGAAUACGGGGUGUUACAUAUACGCAUGUUCUAUGCCUUCCAAGUGUUUGAUAAAUUGUUCAUGUGAACUAAUAAGUGCAAGAAUUCAUGUCAACUAAGCCUAUGUGCGAGAUAUAUCAUGCAAGUGUUUGUUAAAAUUCCCUAAUGAAUAAAGUAUGAUCAAGUUCAUAGUUUACAUAUUUCAUGUUUAUGCUAUGUCUCUUAAUUUAUGCUAUCGAGUCCUGGGGGUACUUGUACCCGAUAAUUUAGCUGCUUGUCUAGAGCCUUGGUCAGUCAUAGAACAGUAUCAGUCACGCAUGAUCAGUAGUACUCUCAGUCAGUUACAAAACUCAGGAAAACUCAGUAUAGUUAGUAAUAGUUUAGUUUAACUCAAUAUUCAGUUCAGACCUCAGUAAACUCUAUCAGUUAACAGAAUUCAGUAGUAUUCCGUCAGUGAACUCAGUUCAGUUUAGCUAAGCAGUAAACUCAGUAACAGUCAGUCCAGCCUAGUACAGACUAGAAAUCAGUUCAUAGUCUAUUCAUUUGGGAGUAGGAUUCAGCACCGAGUGAACCCAAGAAUGGGGGCUCAUACACCAGUAAAGGGUGUGAUCCUUAGAAAUAGUCCUUGUGUUCCAAAACUACGUAGCCAGCGUAGGUUGAGAUAUCUUUCUACCAGACUUUAUAAGGGUUGAUACAUCUCAUUCGAGUUCUCCUACCAGCGAGGGUUGACGGAAGAGCUUCCUAUCAGAGAGGGUUAGCUCACAGCUUGUCCUUACCCAUGGCACAGUAUUGGCACCCUUCCAACUGGGGUUACAGGUUGGACCCCAAAUUAGUUAGAGAAGGGGCAUGUCGGUUAGAUGAUUACCUCCCACAAUUUCAGUUUCAGUCUCAGUAUAAAACUCAGUCCAGUUCUACAGAAUUAGGACUAUCAAUUAUAGUCUCUUAAUUUAGUUCAGUACGAAACUCAGUAUAGUUCCAUAGAAUUCAGGACUGUCAGAUGCAGUCAUCCAGUUAUCAGUAAUACAGUGUCAGUAAACUCAGACCUCAGUUAAAUAGUAUUCAAAUUCAGUAUCCAGUACUAUCAUGUUUUCAGUUAUAUUUUUCGUAUUCAUGCAUGUACUCUCAUUUAGUCAUACUCAUGUUAUUUAGUUAGUAUUAUUCAUGCAUAUGAACCCAUGCAUUUUAGCCUACCUCCCUGAGAAUAUCAGUACAUUCAAAGUACUGACGCAUGCUUUAUUUUAUGCUAUGAUGUCUUAUAUCAUAGGUUCCGACGCACGGGCUCCCGAGCAUCCUUAGUAGAUAGACUUCUAACAGUCAGAGUAGUGGUGAGUCCUCAUAGUUCGAGGACAUGCUUAUUAUUUAUAGUAUUUCAGUUUCAAUAUCAGUUGUCAGAGUUAGUUGGGGGCUUGUCCCAUCAACUCCAUAAUUUAAACAGUUUUAGAGGCUUUUCAGACAGUUGUUCAGUUUUUUAGUACUUAUAUUCAGUUUUGGUAUUUUGAUACCGCAUUCAGAUUUAUUUUAUAGAUUAAACCUUAUGGCAUAUGUUUCCGCCUAUUUUUGCAAUUAUUACAGUAUUUACACAGUUAUUGCAGCAGUUACCAAUCAUGGGUUAGUUUGUGGUUCUUCGAUAUUGUGAGCAUCGUGUAGCAUUUGGGGUAAGACUCAGGGCGUUACAAAUUUGGUAUCAGAGCCUAAGAUUCAACAGUGUCCUAGGAAAUCGGAAAACCGCAUCUAGUAGAGUCUUGUGUAUGGGUGUGUUGCGCGUCAUACUUAUGGACAUGAGGCUACGAGGUGUUUUUAGGAACAAUUUUACUUCUUUCAGUAUUCAUGUCGUGCGAGCGAGCAUAAGAUCAAAUUAAACCCUCAGUCUAAUUCAUCUCUACCUUAUGCUUCCAGAAUAUGUCUGACAGAGAAGAUAACGAAAGAAGUAAUGAAAAUCAGUCAGCCCCUCCGCCCGUUCAGGCAGAUCCCCUGAAUGAGCAUGUCUCUCACUCUGAAUUUAGAGCUGCUUUCAUAGCCUUAGCUUAUUCAGUAGUUGCUCAGAACAAUUAGCUGGCCAUUAUCCUAUCAAGUCUUAUGGCUUAUGCUGAGUGGGGAUAAGAGGCGUAGGAAAGAAGAGAGAAAGAAUAAGAGUGCCAGAAUGUCUAGGCCAAAAAGUGGCUGAAUAAAUCCUCUCUGCCAGUAGUGUGGAAGAAACCAUCAGGGUAUCUGUAGAAUUGGCAGCGAUGUGUGUUUUGGAUGUAGUAAGACAGGCCACAGAGUCAGACAGUGUCCUCAAGUGAGUUCGCAGAGUCAGUAUACUCGUCCUUCAGCUCAAUCUGGCCGCUCGAAUCAGCAGGGUGCCUCUUCCAGUGCCACCAGUGGGCAAUGCCCAAACAGACUCUAUGCUCUUCAGUCCUGAUAGGAUCAGGAAAGUUCUCCUAAUGUGGUCACUGGUACGUUAUAAGUUUAUCACUUAUAUGUUUAUGCUUUGCUAGAUCCAGGAGCUUCUUUGUCCUUUGUUACUCCAUAUAUAUAGUUAAUUUCGGAGUCAUUCUCAAAAUUCUAGCAGAGCCUUUCUCAGUCUCUACCCCAGUGGUAAACUUAUCAUAGCUCGACGGAUAUACAGGGACUGCCCAGUUAUGGUAUCUCAGAAAGUCACUUCAGCAGACUUAGUCGAAUUAGAGAUGACUGAUUUUGAUGUCAUUCUCAACAUGGAUUGGCUUCUUUCCUGUUAUGCCUCAGUCGACUGCAGAAACAGAAUUGUCUAGUUUUAGUUUCUGAAUGAAUCCGUCCUAUAGUAGAGGAGUAGUACUUUAGCACUUAGGGGUCAGCUUGUUUCUUACCUUCGGGCUAGAAAAUGAUAGCUAAGGGAUGUGUUUACCAUCUCGUUUGAUUCUGGGACUCUAGUUCAGAAAACCCUACUCUUGAGCCAGUAUCAGUAGCUGUGAAUUCCUAGAGUGUUUCCUAAAGAUCUUCUUGGAGUUCAUCCUGAAAGGGAAAUUGAUUUCGGAAUCGAUCUUCUCCCAGAUACUCAGCCCAAAUCUAUUCUGCCAUACAGAAGGGCUCCAGCAAGAACUCAUAGAAUUGAAAGAGCAGUUAAAGGAUCUGCUAGGUAAGGGAUUCAUCAGACCCAGUGUGUCCCCAUGGGGCACACCAGUGUUAUUCAUGUGUAAGAAAGAUGGUUCCUUCAGAAUGUGUAUAGACUACAGUCAACUAAAUAAAGUCAUGGUCAAGAACAAGUAUCCACUUUCCAGAAUCGAUGACUUGCUUGACCAACUUCAGGGUACCAGUUAUUUUUCCUAGAUAGACCUCAGAUCAGGCUAUCAUUAUCUCAGAGUCAGAGUCAGGGAAUGUGACAUCCCAAAGACAACCUUCAAAACUCGGUAUGGCCACUUCGAAUUCUUAAUCAUGUCCUUUGGUCUUACCAAUGCCCCAACAACUUUCAUGGACUUGAUAAACCAUGUGUUCAAGCAGUACUUGGACAUGUUCAUCAUGGUCUUCAUUAAUGACAUCCUUGUCUAUAGCAAACCCAUCAGCUAUCAUGAUAUCUAUCCAUGUCUUACAUGUCAACACUAUGAUUAUAGCCCAUAUUCGUGCCUGUCAACGAAAACAUGCACGCUUAUAGCUUUUAGUACAAGGGGUUCCAGUUCACUCAGUGUCAUGAAUCAUGUUCCAUGAAUAUCAAAACUCCAGACUCAGGUCAUGCAGCUCAUGACCAGGUGCCCAUGUCAUGCUUUACAGUAUGCUCAGUUCAUAUAACCUAUGCUCCACGCCUAAUGAUUAGCGAAACUCAUAUUAUUUCACGUAUAUCCUUAGUUUAAAUUUUUUAGUAAACCCAUGGUGUUGAUAUCAAACCCCUCAGGCCUCACUUAUAGUGUCAGUUCAGCAUUCAGUACUCAGUAACCAGUAUUUAGUCUCAGAAUUCAGUAAAGGACUCAGAUAGUUCAGUUGCAAUCUUAGAUAUAAGUCACUCAGUUAUCAUAACUCAGUAUUCAGUUCCAGUAUGAGUCUUAGUUACAGUACCAGUUACAGUUUCAAUUACAAUUUCAGUUACCAUCUUAGUUACAGUCUCAGUCUAGUAAUUAGAUCAGUAACUCAGUUCAGUUUCAGGUUUGUUUGACCAUAGCAUACAGUUAUCAGUUAUUCAGAUAUCAAUAUUUCAGCACCUCAGUUUAUAGACUAUUUUGGAACCAUGUUAUAUGCUUAGUCUUGUACUUUUAAAUAAUACAGUCCUCCACAAAUUCAUGCUCAGUUAUCUCAUGUUACUCAGUCAGUCCUUGUCUCAUAUGCUUAAUACUCUACAGUUUUAGUCCAGUUAUUCAGACUAAGAACAGUUUGAUCUUGCAUGGCCAGUAUUUAACUAUUAACUAUUCAGUUAAUCAGAUAUGACAGUAUGUUCAUGCAAUCGUGCUCAGCGCCCAUGUGAAUAUUUUUGGUAGUGUCAGGUGAAGUGUCGUGCUAAGGUGGAAAGUAUAGUUGAGAGGGUAUCCAAGGGAUAUGUCUAAGUUUGAAAAUCUUAGUUGCAGUACAUGAGGCUUAGUCACUCUAUCUUAAAUGAGGUUUCAUAGGCCUUACCACAUAUUACAAAAAUUUAGCUAGAAUGUGACUCCUUAUUCAGACGCUUCAUUCAGCCUAGGCAAAGAUUCUUUGCUCCCUAAAGUCACUAGAAACUUAUAGAAAGAGAGUCAAGGAAAUUCUCCAGUCGAGCAUGAUUUUUCAGCACACAAGUUAGUUUGUAAAGCCAGAAAUUCAGUUUAGCAGUCGGGUAGGCAAAUUCGUAUGACUUAGUUUCCCAUCUUUCCAUCUAGUCGCACUAUCCGAAAUCUCAUGAAUACAAUUAUUCCAAGAUGGGGCAACCAGGUAGUGCGUGUUCAGCUCAGUUCAUGUAUCAUGCCUCAGUUCAGAUCCCAGAUAUUCAGUCACAAUUCAGUUUGUAGGUUCCCAAUGUAUCGUCUCAGUUUUCCUCAGUAUCUCAGCCAAGUCAGUAUUCUUCGAGGGACAUAAUGCCCCAAGGGGGAGAUAUACUAUAAUUCCUCGAGCUUUCAUGACCUAAACCUUCUAUUUCCUCUUCAUGUAACAAAUCCAAUUUGGAGUAGUGGGUCCUCAUAAAUUGACCCUCGAGUCCCAAUCUCAGUCGUACACCAUGUAUCCAGGGGCUCUAUUCAGUUUAUGAUGUUCAGUUCAUGUAUCACAUUUCUGGCUUAGUUAUGUUCUUAUGUUCCUAUUCAUGCGUGUUCAGUAAAGGAUCUCGAGAUUGAGAUCGAAAAUUUUGUAUUUUUGAAAAUCUCUCCUAUGAAAGGAGUGAAGAGGUUUGGCAAGAAGGGGAAACUCAGUCCCCGAUAUGUCGGUCCUUACUGAAUUCUUAGCCGUUCCGAAAAGGUCUAAGUUUGAAAAUCUUAGUUGCAAUACAUGAGGCUUAGUCACUCUAUCUUAAAUGAGGUUUCAUAGGCCUUACCACAUAUUACAAAAAUUUAGCUAAAAUGUGACUCCUUAUUCAGACGCUUCAUUCAGCCUAGGCAAAGAUUCUUUGCUCCCUAAAGUCACUAGAAACUUAUAGAAAGAUCAGAUCCCAGAUAUUCAGUCACGAUUCAGUUUGUAGGUUCCCAAUGUAUCGUCUCAGUUUUCCUCAGUAUCUCAGCCAAGUCAGUAUUCUUCGAGGGACAUAAUGCCCCAAGGGGGAGAUAUACUAUAAUUCCUCGAGCUUUCAUGACCUAAACCUUCUAUUUCCUCUUCAUGUAACAAAUCCAAUUUGGAGUAGUGGGUCCUCAUAAAUUGACCCUCGAGUCCCAAUCUCAGUCGUACACCAUGUAUCCAGGGGCUCUAUUCAGUUUAUGAUGUUCAGUUCAUGUAUCACGUUUCUGGCUUAGUUAUGUUCUUAUGUUCCUAUUCAUGCGUGUUCAGUAAAGGAUCUCGAGCUUGAGAUCGAAAAUUUUGUAUUUUUGAAAAUCUCUCCUAUGAAAGGAGUGAAGAGGUUUGGCAAGAAGGGGAAACUCAGUCCCCGAUAUGUCGGUCCUUACUAAAUUCUUAGCCGUUUCGAAAAGGUAGCUUACGAGCUUGAGUUGCCUUCAGACUUAGCUUCAGUGCACCCAGUGUUCCGUGUCUCCUUGCUAAAGAAAUGCAUAGGUGACCCAGCAGUCGUAGUCUCUAUUAAGGGCAUAGAUAUUCAGAACAACCUCUCUUAUGAAGAGAUCCCAUUUGAAAUUCUUGACUAUCAGAUUCGUAGACUGAGGAACGAAGAAGCCCCUCCAGUCAAAGUUCUUUGGCGGAAUCGGUCCAUUGAGUAGACUACUUGGGAAUCAAAAGCAGAUAGCUGACCAAGUAUCCUCAUCUCUCCUCAGCUAAUUCAGACUCAGCUCAAGGUAAUAGUUUUCCUUAAGCUUAUUCAGUUUUAUGCUCAGAUUUUCAGUACAAACUUGGUAUCAGUUACCAUUGUAUGCUCAGCCAUAUAUUCAUGAGUCAGUUCAGUCAUGUAUUCAUACAUCAGAUAUGCAUAUUCAGUAUGAGAAACUCAGCUAAUCAAUAAUCCUAUUCAUGCAUUCAUGAAUCAUGUUCAGCUAUGUACUCAUGCAUCAGAUAUGCAUGUUUAGUAUGAUAAUCCAUUAUAUCAAAAAUCUCAGUCAUGUGGUCAUGUUUCAGAUGUUCAUGUCCAGUAAGUAACUUCAGUCUACCAGUACUCUCAGCUUAGUCAAUCUCAUUUGAGGAAGAAUGUUCCCAAGGGGGAGUUAAUAUAAGACCCCACAAAAUUUCUAUCUUAAUUCAAUACUUUAAGCUUGUUAAGGGGGUCCCAGACUUGGAAUAUAUUAGCUAAGUAUUCAGACUUAGUGUCAUUUUAGCCUUUGAAAGUUGGCAAUCUUAUUUUGAGACCUUUACGUCCAUUAAAUAUUGAUAUUUGAGUUAAUUCAUGAUCAGAAAGGUCAAUAGAUGUUUCCGGACAAGUUUCAGAAUUUUUGGACCUCAUUUAGACCAUGUUUGAGUGCCCAAAAUAGUGGGUCGAUGCGAUAUCGAUGCGUCGCAUCGACCAUCACGUCGAUAAGAUAGUUUUUCCCCAUAUUCAGUGCAAAUUUCAGUGAACCAACGCAGACUCAAUGUGGCACGUUGGCUAUCACGUCGAUGCCAACGAUGUGGUGCGUCGGCCUGCGCGUCGGUAACACAGUUUAUAGGCAUUAAAAGGCCGCGUACUCAGGGUUAAUUAGGUCUUUUUCCCACACCCUUUAGCCCCCAAAACAUGAAAUUAAACCCUUUGGAGAGCAAUUAUAUUCAUUCUUUCACAAAUUGCUCAAGAACAAGAACCCUAGGUGUUCAAAUUUCAAAUCAAGAACUCACCAUUAACUUUCAGAAAAUCUUCAACUAAGGUAUGUGAAGUGUUCACCCAAGGGUCCCUUCCACCCCUGAAGUCCAAGAAACUAUUUUUAAACUUCAUGUAUAUGGAUUUCAUGAAUAUCAUAAUGGGUUUGAUAAUAUUCAUGUUUAUAAUGAUUAUUUGACUUUCAAAUCCAUGUGUUAUGCUAAGUUUCAUGUGGAGUUUAUUGAUCUAUAUGUCUUAUUAUGUGAGAUCAUGUUAAAGCCUUCAAGUGUGAAUUUGAUGAUUGAAUUUGUGUGCUCACAUGUUGAUUAGUGUUAUGCGCAUGUUCUAUGCCUUCCAAGUGUUUGAUAAAUUAUUCAUGUGAACUAAUAAGAGCAAGAAUUUAUGUCAAGUUAGCCUAUGUGUGAGAUAUAUCAUGCAAGUGUUUGUUAAAAUGCCCUAAUAAAGUUAAAAUGCCCUAAUGAAUGAAUGAUGAUCAAGUUCAUAGUUAACAUGUUUCAUGCUGGCAAAAUGACCUUCUGGACCCCUGUACUAUGUCCGUUUUGUAAGUUGGACACUUCUACUUACAUGUUUGUCAUCUGGACCCUUGAACCCAUUAAAAAGUAAUAUUUUGCACCCUUUGACCACCCGCGCAUCACUACAGCCCCAAAGCUCCAAUGCCAUUAAAGCCCCCACCACUACAGAAAACAUAUUUUGCUUCUUUCCUUCCUAAUGGUCCUAAGAAAAUCUCCAGUGAAAUUCCAACAAACCACCAGUCUUAGGCAUAGUCUAUGGCAUUCCGUUCAUGCCCAAACCACAAAAAUAAAAAUAGUUAAACCCACAUCAACAAGAAUACCAAUUAUCAGGAAUCCAAGUCCACCCUUUAACAAAUACACUCACAUAAUCCAUCUCUAAUUCAUUACACUUGAAUUCACCAUCAUCAAUAUUUUGCAAAGUAGCAUAGGAAUAAUUUAAUUCUUUAUGUUUUUAUCUGAAUUGAGGAUAGCUCAUUUGAGAAUCCCAUUUCUUGAAAGCACCCAACAAGUUUCUAAACUGGUCGGAUUUGGAAAAUGGGGGUCAUGGUGGUGGGUUGGGGGUGGUCAAGAUUUGAUUUUUAGUGAAUGUGGUUGAAGAAGUAAAGUGGGAAAUCAAGAAAAUCAGAGAAAAGAGCUGCCAUGGAAGGGAUCAACCUAAAUUUUUUGUUUUAAGGAAAAAAAAUUUAUAUUAGAAUAAUUAAAAUAAUUUACCAAUGAAAUCAGCUUCUUUUUUUAAUUUGUGAGCAAACAUAAAAGGAAAUAUGAUUAUUUAGAUUUUUCUACAAUUUAUUUAAAAAAUUAUUUAAUUAAAUUUAUUUUUAAUAUUUAAUUUUUUAAGUAGAAUUUUAAAAAUGACAUGGAAUUUAAUGUAAUACCUGAAAAUGAUGUGGAAGUUGAUGUGGCAGGCGUGGAAGCUGACAUGGCAGCUGACGUGGCGACAGUGUGUUACACUCACCAAAAAAGUAUUUAAAAUGUUGCUUUUUAAUGAGUUCAGGGGUCUAGAUGACAAACAUGUAAGUAGAAGUAUUCAACUUACAAAAUCGAUAUAGUACAGGGGUCCAGAAGGUCAUUUUACCUUUCAUGUUUAUGCCAUGUCUCUUAAUUUAUGCUAUCGAGUCUUAGGGGUACUUAUACCCGGCAAUUUAGCUGCUUGUCUAGAGCCAUGGUUAGUCAUAGAACAGUAUCAGUCAUGGUACGAUCAGUAGUACUCUCAGUCAGUUACAGAACUCAGGAAAAUUCAGUAGAGUCAGUAAUAGUUCAGUCUAACUCAGUAUUCAGUUCAGACCUCAGUAAACUCUAUCAGUUAACAGAAUUCAGUAGUAUUCCAUUAGUCAACAGAACCUCAGUGAACUCAGUUCAGUUCAGCUAAACAGUAAACUUAGUAACAGUCAGUCCAGCCUAGUACAGACUAGAAAUCAGUUCAAAGUCUAUUCAGUUGGGAGUAGGAUUCAGCACCGAGUGAACCCAAGGAUGGGGGCUCACCCACCAGUAAAGGGUGUGAUCCUUAGAAGCAGUCCUUGUGUUCCAGAACUACGUAGCGAACAUAGGUUGAGAUUUCUUCCUGCCAGACUUUAUAAGGGUUGAUACAUCUCAUUCAAGUUCUUCUACCAGCGAGGGUUGAUGGAAGAGCUUUCUAUCAGAGAGGGUUAACUCACAGCUUUUCCUUACCCGUGGCACAGUAUUGACACCCUUCUAACUAGGGUUAUAGGUUGGACCCCAAAUCAGUUAGAGAAGGGGCAUGUCGGUUAGAUAAUUACCUCCCACAGUUUCAGUUGUAGAUUCAAUCCUAGUAUAGAACUCAGUCCAGUUCUACAAAUUCAGGACUAUCAGUUAUAGUCGCUUAAUUUAGUUCAGUACGAAACUCAAUAUAGUUCCACAGAAUUCAAGACUGUCAGAUACAGUCAUCCAGUUAUCAGUAAUACAGUAUCAGUAAACUCAGACCUCAGUUAAAUAGUAUUCAGAUUUUGUAUCCAGUAUUAUCAUAUUUUCAGUUACAAUUUUCGUAUUCAUGGAUGUACUCUUAUUCAGUUAUAUUCAUGUUAUUCAGUUAGUAUUGUUUAUGUAUAUGAACCCAUGCAUUUCAGCCUACCUCCCUGAGCAUACUAGUACAUUCAAAGUACUGACGCAUGCUUUCUUUUGCAUUAUGAUGUCUUAUAUCAUAGGUUCCGAUGCGCGAGCUCCCGAGCAUCCUUAGUAGAUCAGACUUCCAACAGUCAGAGUAGUGGUGAGUCCUCAUAUUUCUAGGACAUGCUUAUUAUUUACAGUAUUUUAGUUUUAGUAUCAGUAGUCGGAGUUAGUUGGGGGCUUGUCCCAUCAACUCCACAGUUCAGUCAAUUUUAGAGGCUUUUCAGACUAGAGUAUUUUCAGACAGUUGUUCAAUUUUUUAGUACUUGUAUUCGGUUUUGGUAUUUUAAUACCGCAUUUAGAUUUAUUUUGUAGAUUGAACCUUAUGGCUUAUGUUUUCGCCUAUUCCGGCAAUCAUUACAGUAUUUAUUACACAAUUAUUACAGCACGUACUAGUAAUGGGUUAUCUUGUGGUCCUUCG